GGCCUCUAGAAUUCUUCUCAGCAAUUCUUGAUUGUUAUUUUGCUGAAAUUCUACUCAUAUCCUUUGCUGGUAUCAGUCGUCUUGUCAGCCAAACAUUUCCAUGUCUGGUAGGUUAGUGGGGUAACUGUUUUAUCAGAACAUGAGUGAAUGGCUUUUGAAUAGUUUUGUUAUUCUGAAAAAAUUGUUGGCUCAAUUUGUUAUUCCGUGAAACAAUUCUAAAUUUGCAAUUCUAAAACUGCAUUAUUUUGUACAUUUUCUUACACUUGCAUGCUGCACGGGGAUGUUGUGGUGGAAAGAAAUAUGCUGCUUAUCUACAUGUAUUAAUGAAUUUUGUAGAUAUGUUAGUUUAUGCUCUUUAAAGUAACCAGCAAACUUUCUUGUAGGUGAGGUUUGGCGGCUUAAUCAUAUUUGAUAAUGUUCUAUGGCACGGAAAAGUUUCUGAUCCCCAAGUGAAAGACAUGAAGACUAUCAGCCUGAGAAAUUUCAAUAAAAAAAUUCGCGAGGAUAGCCGUGUUAGCGUUAGUAUGGUACCCAUUGGUGAUGGCAUGACAAUCUGCCGUAAAAGGGAAUGAGGUUGGCCUGUUUCAUUCCGUUAAUCUUGAUAUGUUCAGUAAUUUAUGACCCAAACAAUUAGUCGAGGUUUCAAAUGUCUUUAUUUUCUUGUUUCCUAGAAAUGGGCUCAUAAUUGAUUUGUGGAUGA